UCUACAGGUCGAGCAAGUCUCGUAAAUUUCACGAUUGCGAGCCACGCUUCACGCAACCGUGUUUGCGUACUUGUGUUUCGAGUUGCGUGGUCGUGCGGAGUUAUAUUUACCAAAUUUAAAUAUAAUCGUUUUCAAAAUUAAAUCAAUAUGGCUACUGGGUGUAAAAGAUAAAUCUUAUUCUAUCUGUUCUUAAUGAGUUUUAGAUAAUUUUAGUUGUAUUUCUUUGUAAUUUUGUGUUGUACAAAGAUUAAUUUAACAUUUUCUCUGGAAGUAUUAAUUUAGAAAGAUAAUAUGCUUCAUUGGUGUUGUGUUUUGAAGUGUGAAAUGCAAAGUAAUUGUGAUAGUUAAAUGCAAGAUAAAGUUCACUUUUAAACUGAACUAAAUAAGGUAUCUGAGAGACAACAAUGGUUAAAUGCAAUACAAUGUACAGGUUUUACUAGCGAAAUGAAAAUUUUCCUGUCCUGUCUGCUGUAAUCAUUUUAUAUCUGGAAAACCAACCGACUUAAUCGAUAAUAACAAUCUCCAGAUUGGGUUCCUUCAAUAAAUAUGGUCUAUAAACACAAUGAAAUAAGUUCCCCAAACUCUAAAAUGGAGUGGUAUCAAAGGAGAAUUAAAGGGAAAAAUAUUCAUAUUGAAAUUAUUUAUAAGGCACUGGACUGUCUUAAAUUCUACAAUAAUACUAGAAUCAGCUGAGAGAAGUGGUCUACAAAAAACCAGGAAGGAAACGGAAUAUGUGGCUACGAAAGGCAAAAGAAAGGUUUACAAAGCAAAUGUGACACAUCUUUUUGAAAUAUUUAGGAAUAUCAGUAAAUUGCAUUGAAAAAAUGUAUGAAAAGAUUUUGUUCAAUAAAAAUGUUUAUAUUUA